GACAAAGGCGGCGGCGGGAACCGCCGGCAGCGUCAGCCCGGGAGGGCCGCCCGCCGCCGGUGCAGCACGGGAGGUGUAGUCCUGCCGCUCCGCCCCGCUCGGCUCGGGGGGGCGGGCACCGGGAGCACCGCUGUGUCCUUGCGGCCCCUGGCCCUGCCCGCCACCCCUGGCCACUCGGGUCCUCUGCAAAUGGAGUACUGGGCUCGGGGCACCGAGACACGGCGGGACACGCGGGGGGUGUUAUAGACGAUCACGAUAAAUAGCACGCACUCGUCGGAAUAAAUUGCUUAGAAUUUAUUACGGCAAGCAGCUAAGUGCCUUCUAAGUGCCUGCUGGUUUUUCUCAGACACUGUGCUUGGUGCUGGUAUCGCCAAGGUCAAGACAAUGGAAUGCUGAAGAUGCCUCAUGUUUAGAUUUAUUGCUACGGGAGCCAAGAAUUCCACACAUCCGCUGCUGGAGUGACGCCAACUUCAUAUUGAGCAUUCGAGAAUGGUUUUGUGUAUUUUGAAUAUAUUCUCUACGUAUUAGUAGCAUUAGUAAAACCAUUUAAAACCUU